rnacentral:rRNA from 1 species
CCUACGGGUGGCAGCAGUAGGGAAUCUUUCACAAUGGGCGAAAGCCUGAUGCAGCGACGCCGCGUGCAGGAAGAAGGCCUUCGGGUUGUAAAGCGCUUUUAUAAGCGAGGAAUAUGACGGUAACUGAUGAAUAAGGAUCGGCUAACUACGUGCCAGCAGCCGCGGUAAUACGUAGGAGGCGAGCAUUAUCCGGAGUGACUGGGUGUAAAGAGUGGGGUAGGGGGGAUAAUAAGUAGCAAAGGAAAACUGGGGGCUCAACCAUUCAGACUGUUGGCGAAACUGUUAAGCUCGAGUGCGUGAGGGGUAAGUGGAAUUUCUAGUGUAGCGGUGAAAUGCGUAGAUAUUAGGAGGAACACCGAUGGCGUAGGCAGGUUGCUGGGACGGUACUGACGCUGAGGCACGAAAGCGUGGGGAGCAAACAGGAUUAGAUACCCGUGUAGUC